CCUACGGGUGGCAGCAGUGAGGAAUAUUGGUCAAUGGACGAGAGUCUGAACCAGCCAAGUAGCGUGAAGGAUGACUGCCCUAUGGGUUGUAAACUUCUUUUAUAUGGGAAGAAAAUGUUCCACGUGUGGGCUUUUGUAUGUACCAUAUGAAUAAGGAUCGGCUAACUCCGUGCCAGCAGCCGCGGUAAUACGGAGGCUCCGAGCGUUAUCCGGAUUUAUUGGGGUUAAAGGGAGCGUAGGUGGAUUGUUAAGUCAGUUGUGAAAGUUUGCGGCUCAACCGUAAAAUUGCAGUUGAAACUGGCAGUCUUGAGUACAGUAGAGGUGGGCGGAAUUCGUGGUGUAGCGGUGAAAUGCUUAGAUAUCACGAAGAACUCCGAUUGCGAAGGCAGCUCACUGGACUGCAACUGACACUGAGGCUCGAAAGUGUGGGUAUCAAACAGGAUUAGAUACCCGUGUAGUC
rnacentral:rRNA from 1 species